rnacentral:sRNA from 1 species
AUUGCAUAACCGGGCUACAAAAUGUCAGUGAUGAUCUUAAUUGGACGAUAGUUAUUGCUUUAGAUGUAUUGCAGAAAGUGCUUCACAUUUGAUUGAUAUAUUGAUUUUUCUUUAAACAUUAUUAGAUUUGUUUGUUCACCAUUAUUGUUAUUGACAAGCAAUUACAUUGUGUGUGUACCUGAAACCACCCAAUGGCAUGCAUUAUAGAUGUUUAUUUUAAUUUUUUUUUGGAAAGUUUUGUGGUAUAUUAAAAUUACUAUUUCGUUCAAUUUAUGCAAUGCUUUGGCUCAAGAAUGUAUUUUUUCCUUAAAAUUUAUAUUUUAGAGUUUUUACUGUGAACAAUAAAAUCUAAAGUCACAAAUGGUUCAAAAUCAGUACAUGAAUGUGCAAUCAAUAUUGUACCUCAAACCCACAGUACCGUGCUGAGUCCACGCACACUAUCUUUAUAGCAAAGUAGCACAAACGUACAUUUUUUUGUUCUAUAAAUGUCAUCUUAUAUGAUAAAAUUUAUGUGUAUAAUUUUGUUCUGUAAGAUGUUUCCAUUAAUCCAGUUUCAUUGUUAAUUAUUAUUGCCAGUCUAGUGAUUUUAAUUUAUUCUUUGAAUUAAUCAUUAAUGUCAGAAUUGAUUUGCUUUUGAUUGCUAUAAUUAUUUUGUUUGAGUUUAAAAAAAUUAGUGUGCAAUAUGUGCAGUAUGUUCUCCACAUUAAAUUUUUUAAAAGUU